AUACGAAGGGGGCUAGCGUUGUUCGGAAUCACUGGGCGUAAAGCGCGCGUAGGUGGAUCAAUUAGUUGAGGGUGAAAUCCCGGGGCUCAACCUCGGAACUGCCUUCAAUACUGUUGAUCUUGAGACCGAGAGAGGUGAGUGGAAUUCCUAGUGUAGAGGUGAAAUUCGUAGAUAUUAGGAAGAACACCAGUGGCGAAGGCGGCUCACUGGCUCGGUACUGACGCUGAGGUGCGAAAGCGCGGGGAGCAAACAGGAUUAGAAACCCUAGUAGUCC
rnacentral:rRNA from 1 species